rnacentral:misc_RNA from 1 species
GGUAGGCGCUUCACGAUGGUGACGUCAGUGCUCAGUAAUCGUCAGUUGCGCAGAGACGCAGAGGCUGGUUGCCGCGAGCGCGCGCUACGUCAGAAUGACGGGUCGAGUGAGCAGCAACUGAUAAACCACCCUCUCUGGUCGGGACUCUCUGCGGGCGGGCCGACGCUCCGUCUAAGGAGAGGUACAGAGACAGGCGAGCAUGGGACAGGGAGCGGUGUCGUGAAGGAGGGCGGAGGAAGGCGCGCGUCGUGGUCCGCGCGCGCUUGCGAUUAAGGGUGGCCGAGUGACACCGACGACGAUGGCGAGCUCGGGCUCGGCGGUCGGUGACGGGGUCGGCGACGAUGGCACGACGGGCGUGCCGGGCGGCGGGCCCAGGAACCCUCUCACCUGCGGUAUCUGCCACGACUACUACAAGGAGCCCUGUCUACUCUCUUGCUUCCACACCUUCUGCGCACGUUGCAUACACGGCCCGCACAUCGAUGGAACGAUCAAGUGUCCCAUCUGCGGGCAACAGACGCAAUUAAAGGAUGGAGCGCAGUUACCACCGCCCGAUCAGCUGAUACAUCAAUUGGUAGAAUUAGCAAACUCUGAAAAUCCACCAUGUGCCAAUUGCGACAAACGCGACAAGUCCACGAUGUUCUUUUGCACAACGUGCGGACAAGCGCUGUGCACCCACUGCAGAGAACACACCCAUCGCGCCAAGAUGUUCUCCACCCACGAGGUAGUGCACAUGAGCAAAUGCGCUAAGGAUACUCAACGUCGUUGUCCGAGCCACGGGGAGCAGUAUAUAAUGUACAGCCAGACCGCCAAAUGCAUGCUAUGCGCCACGUGUUUCCGCGACACGCCCACGGACGCGCGGGUGCACUGCGUGGACAUAGAAAGUGCCUGGCAACAGGCCUCGAAGAAGAUGGAGCGCGCGGUGAAUUCCAUCUGCGAGCUUCAGGCCGGCAUCAGGGACGGUGUGCUGGCGCUCAAGUCUCAGCUAGACGAGCUUCGCCACAGUCUUGAGUCCGAGAAGCGUGCUCUAAGCGCGUUCUGUCAGGGCAUGCAGGAGGUCAUCAACAAGACACACGCAUACGUACUCACGGAAUUGCAACGUCAGUUCGAAACCAAGGAGCGUAUGGUGCGCGCUCAGCUAUUAUCACUAGGUAGCGCGUUACCUGUUCUGCAGAUGCACCUGAUGCUGUGCACCGCGUUCACCAGCGGUGCGACCAAGUAUCAGUUCCUCGAAUUGUCGCAUCCCAUGCUGGAGCGGCUGAGCCGCGUCGCGCAGCUCGGUCAUCCGUCGCGACCGCCCCUGCUCGCUGCUCACAUCAGGACGAAUUAUCGCGCCGAUUUCGCCCGCGCCCUGCAACCCUAUAUAGGGCAAGCGCAAGCCACGAAAGCCGCCGCCGCUGCCGAAUCCUUGUACGAUCAAACAUCAGUCGGUCAUACGUUGAGCCAGUCAGCGGAAUCGCAAAUGCUUCAGAACAGCAAGACUGCUCAGAGACUACCGUCGAAGAGCGGAAUUGAUGGCGGUCCAUUUUCCAAUCAUUGUCGGACCUUCGAUACCCAGUUAAAGGAACUGAGUCAACAACUAAUGACAGUAAAAGAACGGUUGGGUGAGCUGCAGCGAGACGUUUCCGUCUUGAAGAGAGCAAAUACUCCGCCGUUAGGUACACGUUAUGAUCACGUGGCGAGGGAUUGUCGCGUGUUAGAACAACAAUUGGAGCAUCAUCAGAUAGAACUGGAGCGACUCAGAAAUGUCUUUGAUGCUCUUUGGGAGGAGCAAGUAUGUAGGAUUCACAUAGAAAAGGAAAUAUUUCAUUCACAGAUGAACGAUAUAUUAUCGUUGAGAAGCGAAGUGAAGAAAUUGCAAGCGCUCGCUCAGCACCUGGAGCCCUUUGUAAAAUCGUUUUCCACGGGCAUCAGCGCCGGAGAAGUGAGUCUGGCCGCAGCGGACGCCGCCGACAAUCAGCAUCUACAAGCUCUGCUGGAUCAUCUGGCGCGUCUACAGAUGCAGGAACCGCCGCCACAUCCGCAAGCUCAACCGACCAAGGAACAUCGUCAUCCUCGUAGCACUGCCACGAGUGCCGACAAUGCGCUAUAUAUGAAGGAAACAAAGGAAAUCCCGACGCGAUGUCGCACACCAUCCGGCGGUGUAGGCGCCGUAUUGGACUCGAGCGGCAACAUAGUCGUGUAUGGAACAGCCAAGUCAACCGAUCCGAAGAGGGGUGUGCUCAGCCAAUUGAUAGAAAAGGCCAGAACGCAAAAGGAAGAUCGUAAGAAAUCACCUGGCAGAGAGGAUGGUCGUGAUCGCAGUCAGAGUCGGCGCUCGCGUAAAUCGCCCGACAGCGCGAAGCCGAAGACGCCGCCCGGACAUUCGUCUGGUAGUAAGAUGCGAUCGUUGUAUCGCUCCUUAAAAAGCGGCACUGGCGAUACAUCUGCCGAGGGGCUCGAUCAGGCAGAGAGGUGUAUCGAUUCGCAGCAAGCGCAGUCUCAUAUCGGUAAGACUGAGAGAAUCGCAUCGAAUCGUCUUGCGCAAACAAAUACUGAUACAUUAUGACACACAGGUCUUCCUUUGUAGUCCACUGGGAAAGGGGAGGGGGGGCAUGGGCGGGGGCGAAAUAUCGGUUUAGACUUAGAGGCGAUAAACGUCCGACAACCAAAUACAUAAAGUCGCUCACCGUUCGCAGCACACAAUAUAUAUCAGGAGAUGAAGGGGAAUAUCAACGAAUCUCGGAGGCCUCGAGUAUGGGUGAGGCCAAGAAGCGCGUGCAGG